AGCCUGACAACAGUUAAUUUAACCCUGAGAUAGUGUCGCUGCAAACAGCUUACGUAUGGCAAUAAUGUGCGUACGUCAUGUAUAGUCGGGGUAGUGGGCAUUGGCUUCAUGUUGAUACUCGUAUAAUGUCAAAACAUUGCUUAAAGGAAAUUCGGUUCUUUCAAUUUACCUAUUCGUCAAAAUCUGAUUCCAAAUAUUCAAUAUUUAUAUAUUCUUCGUUUUCUGACUCUGACGAAGUCUAAUUUUCAUCAGAUGUUGUGUCGCUUUCAGGACCACCGACCUCGAUUAUAAAACGUUCAGUCUCCAAUUCGAUUAUAGGACCUUUAUUCCUAUAAUCGUCUUCAAUUUUUUUAACAUGGUCACAGCAAUUGCUCCAAUUUUCUUGAGUUACUUCCUAUACGAUAAUAAUUUAUUAAAAAUUUAAAUCAUUAAUGAUAUAGACUGAAUUCAAAAUAAUUUACAUAACUUAACUAAAGUCUAAACAUUAAAAUAAGUUUUAUACCUGAAAACUAUCUUCAACAAGCUUUAGAAAAGCCUUAUUAUCGAUAGACACAUUUUUAGUUGCCACUUUAGCUUUUACAAUGCCCCAAAUCAUCUCAAUAGGGUUUAAAUCACAGUGAUAUGGCGGUAAUCUUAUCACUUUGUGUCCGUAUGUGGAGAGAAUCGUGUCUAUUUCAUAUAUUGGUUCAGGUUUGUGACCUCUCAAAAUCUCCACCAAUCUAGCUUUGGAUGCUUUUUGUGGAAAUGAAAUGUUAUUCGAACGCAGCCACUCUGCAAUGACAUGCUUACUGUCGCCAGAUGUUGGUGGUUUAUUAAUGCGAAAGGAAUGGUAUCGGGCAUUAUCCAUAACUAUACAUGUGGGUUCACUUAGAUUGGGAAUUAAUAUCUGCGUAACCCAUUUUUUAAAAUUAUUUUUAUUCAUCGAAUCAUGGUAAUCUGCUUUUUUUUCUUUAUCAUUAUAUACCAGAAGUGCAUUAGGAACAAAUCCGGAUGGUCCACCGGCAUGAACAAUAAUAUGUCGUUUCCCUGUUGAAACGGCUUUCGAUACUCCAGGUUCAUUUUCGCUCUGCCAACAUUUGGCGUGGUUCAGCGAAGUAUGAAUGUAGGUCUCGUCCAAAUAAACUAUAGGCAUAUUUUUAUCCCUUACUUCUUGUAUUUGAUCCAAAUAACUUUCACGCCAAACCACAAUAUCGGAACGCUCCAUCAAUAUUGACCUUUGGUUUCUGCAUUUUUUAUAUUUGAAUCCCAUACUGUGCAUCAGUUUUCGUAAGUACUCUCUGCUGCCUGUAAAUCUAAUGUCUUUUUUCAAAGCAGCGAGCAGAGUUUUGAUACUCGGUACUUGUUUUCGCACGGCAUAAAAUUCAUGAAUUUUAUGCCUUAUGGCACAUUUGUCGAAGUCGUCUAUUUGAAUUCUCUUUUUGUGUGGGGCUUUGUUUUGUACAUGGGGCAAAGUCAAGACCGUCUCAUUAUUUUUAGAAAUAUUUUUUAUCGUCGAUCUACUUAAACCUUAAAUGAAAUAUUAAAG